rnacentral:piRNA from 1 species
UAAAAGCAAUGCUUCUGAUCGGCAUCAACAC